CCGGGCGCGCGGGAGAAGCGGACCCGGAAUUGCUUCAGACAAAGCGGGGCGUCUUUCGCGUUAAACGAUCCGGCUGAGGGAAGUCGCCAGCUUGCCGCCCACCCAUUCGGAGGAAAGCUCGCUCCCGGCGAAGGCCGCAGGAACCGAAGGGCGCCGGAACACAUGGGGGCUGGCUGCGCGCGGCUGCCGGCCGGGGCGGCUGCGGAAGGAGGGGGGCGGCGAGAAUGGCGCCGCUGCGCGUGCUGGAGCUCUACAGCGGCAUCGGAGGGAUGCACUGGGCGCUGCAAGUGAGUGGGGUACCUGCAAAGGUGGUUGCAGCUGUGGAUGUGAAUACUGUGGCCAAUGGAGUCUACAUGCACAACUUCCCUUCCACACCUCUGUGGCCCAAGACGAUUGAGGGAAUUUCACUGAAGGAUUUCAACAGUCUGUCUUUUGAUAUGAUCUUGAUGAGCCCUCCUUGUCAACCCUUUACAAGAAUUGGCCGACAGGGUGAUAUUUCUGACCCCAGGACACGGAGUUUUCUCUACAUUCUUGAUAUUCUUCCAAAGCUUGCCAGGCUACCCAAAUAUUUGCUUUUAGAAAAUGUCAAAGGCUUCGAAACGUCUUCUGCCAGAGAUGAAUUCAUACAAACACUGGAAAAGUGCGGAUUCACAUACCAAGAAUUUCUCUUGUCUCCAACCUGUCUUGGCAUUCCCAACUCAAGACUGAGGUACUUUCUGAUCGCAAGACGUCAUUCAGAGCCCUUCACUUUUCAAGUUCCUGGUCAGGUAUUAACGGAAUUCCCAAGCUUGAAUCCAGUGGGCCCGAAGAUGUCAAAAGGCGCUACUGGCUUUGCAGGAGAUGUCUCCCUGACGUCCACUGAAGAGGCUGCCUCUGUCCCUGAUGGGAAUGGCAAAACAUGCCCACAAAAGAGUAGCUUCCUUUUUAAGCUUGAAACAGUGGAAGAACUGGAAAAGAAGCAGCAAUCGGAUAAUGAUCUCUCUCUGCAAAGGCUUCAGUCCUUCCUCCAGGAUGAAGGUGAUGAAGGACUCAGUCAGUACUUCCUUCCACAAAAGUCCUUGCUGCGUUAUGCCUUCCUUCUAGACAUUGUUACACCAACUGGCAGAAGAUCAACAUGCUUCACAAAAGGGUAUGGGCACUAUAUAGAAGGAACUGGCUCAGUGUUGCAGAUGGCAGAAGAUGUUCAGCUUGAAUCGGUAUUUAAAUCUUUGGAGGGUUUGCCAGAAGAGGAGAAGCUUACAAAACUGUCAGUGCUUAAACUACGAUACUUUACUCCAAGAGAAAUAGCAAAUCUACAUGGUUUUCCUCCCGAAUUUGGUUUUCCUGAUAAUGUAACUACAAAACAGUGUUACCGACUACUUGGAAACAGCCUCAAUGUACAUGUAGUUGCUAAAUUAAUCUCACUUCUGGUUAAAUAAUAUCAGAAUUCAUUCAAUGAACCAUCCAUCGAAUCCAUCCAUCGAACUACAUCAGAAGACAUUUCUUUUUUGGAAGUAAAGUAAGACUGCAUGGCUGCUGAUGGUCACCUUCCAUUACGAAUUUCUGAAGACAAAACAUCUUUCCAUAUAUCUGAUUCACAAUUUGGGGAAGCAGAGACUGCUACUGAAACUGAGAUGUUAAAUUCCUAGGAUCACCAGGUGAUAAGAUUAGGCAGCAGAUGCUGGAAAAUCCUUCCGUCUGAGACCUCCAGAAGCCACUGGCCACUCAGUACGGAGCUACAUGGACAAGUGAGCUGACCUGGAAUAAGGCAGCAUUUUGUCACUCGCUCUAUUUCUGGUUGCAUGCAGGCAUCUUUACCACCAUAGCUGGUGUGGUUUGCUGGUUGCGGUGGGGACCUGGGAGAGCCAGGUUCUAAUCCCCACUCUGCCACGAAGCUUACUGGGUGACUUUGGGCUAGUCACCCACCCUCAGCCUAACCUACCUCACAGGGUGGUUAUUGUGAGGAUCAAGUGCAGUUGAGGAGGACUGUGCAAGCUGACAUGGGUUUCUCACAAGGGAAAGAAAGGCGGGACAUAAAUGCAAUGGCACAUUGGCUUGUCUGUUAACGCAAUUCAUAUGCUGCUACAUUAGCCCACACUUGGGCUCUCUGAGCGGCUUACAAAACAAAGCAGCAUAGCAUUUUUAAAAUCUAUAGCACAGGGCAUUCAAUAACAGUGAAAAAAUGUCUGUUUGUUUCUAUAUCACUCAGAGCUAUUGUACCCUCCAUGUGCAAGAGGGAUAUGUGGGCAGACUCAAGGUAAUUCCAAGGUAACCUCAAGAAGUACAAAAUCCAUUUCUGGGAAAAAGAGUGGAAAAGGCAGUCGGGAAUCUCCAGAACAGCACAAGGAUGACCAUACUGACUCGGGAUUCCCAGAAUGCUGACUGACUUUUGCUUGUGGAAGUGAAAGGCCAAGUGGGAAGGGACAUGGAGGGCCCUGGGGGAGGCUGAGCUGCCUGGUGGAAGAGCAUCAUUCCUCCUUGCAGGAUUUUUCUGUGCUUUUUGCUUGUCUCUUUAAAAUAUGGCUUAUAACAACAGAGCCUUCGUAUCACGACUUUAGAUUUGGCUAAACUCUCUUAAACUAUGUUAUGUUUAUGUACAUCAUUUUUGUAAACUAGAAUACCCAACAAUGAAUUACUGUCAGAUAAAACUUUCCUCUUUUGCUUUCCA